AAGUCGUAACAAGGUUUCCGUAGGUGAACCUGCGGAAGGAUCAUUACCUUUCAGGGAACUAUAGUCUUCUAUAGAUCCUGUCUACACCCAUGUCUAUUGCGUACUUAUGUUUCCUCGGCGGACUUGUUCCGCCGACUGGACUCUUCAAAACCUUUGUAAUUGUAAUCAGCGUCUGAAAAAUAUUUAAUAUUUACAACUUUCAACAACGGAUCUCUUGGUUCUG
rnacentral:misc_RNA from 1 species